UACGUAGGGGGCGAGCGUUGUCCGGAAUUAUUGGGCGUAAAGGGCGCGUAGGCGGAUGCUUAAGUCCGGUGUGAAAGAUCAGGGCUCAACCCUGAGAGUGCAUCGGAAACUGGGUAUCUUGAGGACAGGAGAGGAAAGUGGAAUUCCACGUGUAGCGGUGAAAUGCGUAGAUAUGUGGAGGAACACCAGUGGCGAAGGCGACUUUCUGGACUGUAACUGACGCUGAGGCGCGAAAGCGUGGGGAGCAAACAGG
rnacentral:rRNA from 1 species